AUUGAACGCUGGCGGCAGGCCUAACACAUGCAAGUCGAGCGGCAGCGGGAAGUAGCUUGCUACUUUGCCGGCGAGCGGCGGACGGGUGAGUAAUGUCUGGGAAACUGCCUGAUGGAGGGGGAUAACUACUGGAAACGGUAGCUAAUACCGCAUAACGUCGCAAGACCAAAGAGGGGGACCUUCGGGCCUCUUGCCAUCAGAUGUGCCCAGAUGGGAUUAGCUGGCAGGUAGGGUAAUGGCCUACCUGGGCGACGAUCCCUAGCGGGUCUGAGAGGAUGACCAGCCACACUGGAACUGAGACACGGUCCAGACUCCUACGGGAGGCAGCAGUGGGGAAUAUUGCACAAUGGGCGCAAGCCUGAUGCAGCCAUGCCGCGUGUGUGAAGAAGGCCUUCGGGUUGUAAAGCUCUUUCGCAAGGGAAGAAAACUUAGCCACUAACAUUGGUUGAGGUUGACGGUACCUUGAUAAGAAGCACCGGCUAACUACGUGCCAGCCGCCGCAGUAA
rnacentral:rRNA from 1 species